CUUGCGGGCUGGCUUACCAUGCAGUCGACGAUGAUGCCCAGCUUGCUGGGUGGAUUAGUGGCGAACGGGUGAGUAACACGUGAGUAACCUGCCCUUGACUUCGGGAUAACUCCGGGAAACCGGGGCUAAUACCGGAUAUGAGCCGCCUUCGCAUGGGGGUGGUUGGAAAGUUUUUCGGUCAGGGAUGGGCUCGCGGCCUAUCAGCUUGUUGGUGGGGUGAUGGCCUACCAAGGCGACGACGGGUAGCCGGCCUGAGAGGGCGACCGGCCACACUGGGACUGAGACACGGCCCAGACUCCUACGGGAGGCAGCAGUGGGGAAUAUUGCACAAUGGGCGAAAGCCUGAUGCAGCGACGCCGCGUGAGGGAUGAAGGCCUUCGGGUUGUAAACCUCUUUCAGCAGGGAAGAAGCGCAAGUGACGGUACCUGCAGAAGAAGCGCCGGCUAACUACGUGCCAGCAGCCGCGGUAAUACUUAUGGCGCAAGCGUUGUCCGGAAUUAUUGGGCGUAAAGAGCUCGUAGGCGGUUUGUCGCGUCUGGUGUGAAAACUCGAGGCUCAACCUCGAGCUUGCAUCGGGUACGGGCAGACUAGAGUGCGGUAGGGGAGACUGGAAUUCCUGGUGUAGCGGUGGAAUGCGCACAUAUCAGGAGGAACACCGAUGGCGAAGGCAGGUCUCUGGGCCGCAACUGACGCUGAGGAGCGAAAGCAUGGGGAGCGAACAGGAUUAGAUACCCUGGUAGUCCAUGCCGUAAACGUUGGGCACUAUGUGUGGGGCUCAUUCCACGAGUUCCGUGCCGCAGCAGACGCAUUAAGUGCCCCGCCUGGGGAGUACGGCCGCAAGGCUAAAACUCAAAGGAAUUGACGGGGGCCCGCACAAGCGGCGGAGCAUGCGGAUUAAUUCGAUGCAACGCGAAGAACCUUACCAAGGCUUGACAUGCACGGGAAGCCACCAGAGAUGGUGGUCUCUUUGGACACUCGUGCACAGGUGGUGCAUGGUUGUCGUCAGCUCGUGUCGUGAGAUGUUGGGUUAAGUCCCGCAACGAGCGCAUCCCUCGUCCCAUGUUGCCAGCGGGUAAUGCCGGGGACUCAUGGGAGACUGCCGGGGUCAACUCCGAAGGAAAGU
rnacentral:rRNA from 1 species